UAAGAAGUAUGUUUUAUAGUUCAUCAUUUGUAUAUAAACGAACGAUUAAAUAUUAAAACAUAAUUAUUAUAAUAAUUGCGGUCUAGUGACACAGUAGUGCAGAAUGGUUGACUGUUUUAUUUAAAUAUCUAUUAUUUUAUUUAUUCUUUUGUAAGCUACGCAUAAAUAUUACUAUUGAGUAGUAUUAAACACCUGUUUUUUAUGGUGUUCUGCUAAAAAUAAACACUCAAACAAUUUAACAAAAAAUAAGUAAAAACAAUUUUAAAACUAAUAGAAAGAAGUUUAGCAGAAAAAAUGUCGGUGUACAAACUCACAUACUUCAACUUUCCUGCACUGGCAGAACCUAUUAGAUUUCUCUUGGCUUAUUUAGAAAUUGAUUUUGAAGAUUUUCGGUUCGAACGUGAACAAUGGCCAUCAAUCAAACCCACAAUGCCAUUCGGAAAAGUUCCAAUUUUAGAAAUCGAUGGUAAAAUAUUGAAUCAAUCAAUAGCCAUAUGCCGCUAUCUAUCAAAAAAGUCUGGAUUAGCAGGUGGCGAUGAUUGGGAAUCUUUAAUGAUCGAUAUUGCUGUUGAUAAUGUUAAUGAUUUACGACAAGCUUUAUCGUUACAUGCAUUUGAUCCAAAUGAAAAAUCUAAAGCUGAAAAAUAUGUAACUUUAAUAAACGAAACUAUUCCGUUGUAUAUGAAUAAAUUUGAAAAUACUGUAAGUGAAAAUGACGGAUAUUUUGUAAAUGGAAAGUUGUCCUGGGCUGAUAUAUACUUUGUAGCUUGUUUAGAUUUUUUGAACUUUAUGGCAAAAGUGGACCUUUUAGAGAGCCGUCCAAAAUUACAAGCGCAUAAAAGAAAAAUAUUGGAAAUACCUCAAAUUAAAUCAUGGGUCGGCCAAGCAAAAAGACCUGCAUUCUCUAUGUGAUGUGUCAAAUUAUAACUAAUUUUGGGAUUUUACUGUUAGUUCCAACAUGAACCUGAUUUCGGCUGAUUGGGUUACUAUCCAUAGCGGCAAGUUAACAAAGCUCAGGGUAUAAACUUUAAUAAAUGUUUGUCUUAAACGAAAUAAUGAUAUAAAACGAGAAUUUUCUCGAUAUUGUAUCAAAUAAUAAAUAAAAUAUAUAUAUAAUACUAUAAAAUAUAA
rnacentral:misc_RNA from 1 species